GACGAACGCUGGCGGCGUGCUUAACACAUGCAAGUCGAACGGAAAGGCCUCUUUCGGGGGGUACUCGAGUGGCGAACGGGUGAGUAACACGUGAGUAACCUGCCCUUGACUUUGGGAUAACUUCAGGAAACUGGGGCUAAUACCGGAUAGGAGCUCCUGCUGCAUGGUGGGGGUUGGAAAGUUUCGGCGGUUGGGGAUGGACUCGCGGCUUAUCAGCUUGUUGGUGGGGUAGUGGCUUACCAAGGCUUUGACGGGUAGCCGGCCUGAGAGGGUGACCGGCCACAAUGGGGCUGAGAUAAGGGCCAGACUCCUUCGGGAGGCAGCAGUGGGGAAUAUUGCACAAUGGGUGGAAGCCUGAUGCAGCAACGCCGUGUGCGGGAUGACGGCCUUCGGGUUGUAAACCGCUUUCGCUCAUGACGAAGCUUUGUGUGACGGUAGUGGGUAAAGAAGCACCGGCUAACUACGUG
rnacentral:rRNA from 1 species